CUUUAAAACAUAGCUGUCAACUUUUCCCUUUUUAAAAGGGAAAUCCUAUUUGGAAUAAGGGAAUUUCCCUUUUAAAAAGGGAAACGUUGACAGCUGUGCUUUAAAG